rnacentral:rRNA from 1 species
AUUGAACGCUGGCGGCAUGCCUUACACAUGCAAAUCGAACGGUAACGGGCCUUCGGGUGCCGACGAGUGGCGAACGGGUGAGUAAUACAUCGGAACGUGCCCGAUCGUGGGGGAUAACGAGGCUAAAGCUUUGCUAAUACCGCAUACGAUCUACGGAUGAACGCAGGGGACCGCAAGGCCUUGCGCGGACGGAGCGGCCGAUGGCAGAUUAGGUAGUUGGUGGGAUAAAAGCUUACCAAGCCGACGAUCUGUAGCUGGUCUGAGAGGAUGAUCAGCCACACUGGGACUGAGACACGGCCCAGACUCCUACGGGAGGCAGCAGUGGGGAAUGUUGGACAAUGGGCGCAAGCCUGAUCCAGCCAUGCCGCGUGCAGGAUGAAGGCCUUCGGGUUGUAAACUGAUUUUGUACGGAACGAAAAGCCUUCUUUUAAUACAGGAGGGUCAUGACGGUACCGUAAGAAUAAGCACCGGCUAACUACGUG